rnacentral:rRNA from 1 species
AGUGAACGCUGGCGGUAGGCCUAACACAUGCAAGUCGAACGGCAGCACAGUAAGAGCUUGCUCUUACGGGUGGCGAGUGGCGGACGGGUGAGGAAUACAUCGGAAUCUACUUUUUCGUGGGGGAUAACGUAGGGAAACUUACGCUAAUACCGCAUACGACCUACGGGUGAAAGCAGGGGAUCUUCGGACCUUGCGCGAUUGAAUGAGCCGAUGUCGGAUUAGCUAGUUGGCGGGGGAAAGGCCCACCAAGGCGACGAUCCGUAGCUGGUCUGAGAGGAUGAUCAGCCACACUGGAACUGCGACAGGGUCCAGACUCCUACGGGAGCCAGCCGUGGGGAAUAUUGGACCAUGGGUGCAAGCCUGAUCCCGCCAUCCCGCGUCGGUGAAGGAGGCCUUCGGGUUGUAAAGCCCUUUUGUUGGGAGAGAAAAGCAGCAGGUUAAUACCCCGCUGUUCUGACGGUACCCAAAGAAUAAGCACCGGCUAACUUCGUG